UCCCUGGUGGUCCAAUGGCUAAGACUCCACGCUCCCAAUGCAGGGAGCUCAGGUUCAAUCCCUGGUUAGGGAA
rnacentral:tRNA from 1 species